AACAAGUAGGGUUUCCAAAAAGGAGCUAAGACCACUCCUUUCAUUAUCUUCACUCUCCGCCACUGCUCCAUUGCUUUCUUUGACAAUACAAAGUUUGAGUUGCUACUGCUUUUGAUCAUCAAUACCAUCCCUUGGUGUUGUUAGUACCUUUCGUCUUCCAGCUAGCAAGAGUAAACUUCCUUGGUUCUUUUCCUUUUUUGCCUUACUGUUCUUUGAAGAUACUGUUGACCAUCUCCUUUUUUUAGCUGAGAAUCCAAUGUGAAGGUGAAAUUUACCAUUUUGGUGCUAAAAAGGUGGGUUCAAUCCACUGAGAAUUGAUCAAUCCACUUGUUGACAAAGGGAGGGAGAUUGUAAGGAACUCAGACCCACUGACAACUUGUAGAUAUCAAUUUCCUCAGCUGUACUUCAUGAAGACCUAACCUCCGACCCCCCUGAUCUACUGAGAGGUUAUUUUUUCUUGCUACGUUAGUUAGGCUAAGUAGUGUUUUCAUUUUUUUGCUUACCUCUCUGAUUUGUAAAUAUGGUGCAGUAGACUUGUCCUCCUCUGUUUGUUGUUUACUUCCCCACUAGUAGCCUUAGAUAUGGACAUUGCUACUUGUCACUGUUAAGGAGCCUCCUACCCAUGCCUGAGAGUUGAUUGAAAUUUAUUUAUGUAAUGAACUCUUCCUCCAAUGCUAAAUUAGCCAAGUAAUCAGCUAGUUGGUUACCUUCUCUAAAUGUAUAAAUUAUUUGAACUUGAUUUGUAGCCAAGAAUUGCCAUAUUUGCAGGAUUGUAUCCUCUAAUCUC